AUUGAACGCUGGCGGCAGGCCUAACACCUGCAAGUCGAACGAGUGGCGGACGGGUGAGUCAUGUCUGGGAAACUGCCUGAUGGAGGGGGAUAAAUACUGGAAACGGUAGCUAAUACCGCAUACCAUCAGAUGGGCCCCGAUGGGAUUAGCUUGUUGGUGGGGUACCGGCUCACCCGGGCGACGAUCCCUAGCUGGUCUGAGAGGAUGACCAGCACCACUUGAACUGAGACACGGUCCCGACUCCUACGUGUGGCAGCAGUGGGGAAUAUUGUACAAUGGGCGCAAGCCUGAUGCAGCCAUGCCGCGUGUAUGAAGAAGGCCUUCGGGUUGGAAAGUACUUUCAGCGGGGAGGCGUUACCCGCAGAAGAAGCACCGGCUAACUAAGUGCCAGCAGCCGCGGUAAUUC
rnacentral:rRNA from 1 species